rnacentral:rRNA from 1 species
UACGGAGGGUGCAAGCGUUAAUCGGAAUUACUGGGCGUAAAGCGCACGUAGGUGGUUUGCUAAGUCAGCUGUGAAAUCCCCGGGCUUAACCUGGGCACUGCAGUUGAAACUGGCAAGCUAGAGUAGGGUAGAGGGGUGUGGAAUUCCAGGUGUAGCGGUGAAAUGCGUAGAUAUCUGGAGGAACACCGGUGGCGAAGGCGGCAUCCUGGACCGACACUGACGCUGAGGAGCGAAAGCCAGGGGAGCAAAGCGGG